UUCACCAUCAAUAAUCGCUUGAACAGUAAUCAUUUUUCCGAUUUUUCAAGUCUAUGUUUUGCUUUCUCCCAUAAUCAUUUGAACAAUAAUCAAAAGGUGCUAAGAAGCUGAGGGGAUUGAGUUUUUUUUUUUUUUUUUCAUUUUUUUUUUCCAAUAAUAAGAGAGUCAGAGGUAAAAAAAAAAGAGGUAUGUAAACCUCUUACCGAAUCUGAUGUUGAUCUGAAAGAAAAACAAACACUUCAAGAUCUGGAAUCAUCUGGCCACAGGUUAUUCAGAGUUUUGGCGGGCCAAAAACACCGAAGAAUAUACCAGUAACCUUUGAUAAGAUUUGAGACUCAUGGCGGAUUGGCGGGGUGGAUUUGGAAAAGCAAGGGUUUGGAUGGAGUCCUUGAGCAAUUGUUCAAUGGUUGAAAGACCAUCUCCAUGCACGAGAUUUUGUGUUCAAACCUUGGGGAGGACAUAAAGAAGUUUUUUCAUGAGGGCUUGGCUUGAGUUUACCUAGGUUUAAGUCUGAAGGGGCAGGGUUUACUUUUAUUACGUUGAAAGACAACGUAUGCUAGACCUCUUGCUGUCGAAUCGCGACACGAAGUUUAUGUAAUGCAAGUUUCUAUAAAUCCCCGGUUUACAUCUUUCAAUGAAAAACUAAACCCUUAUCAUUCAGAAGAUCGAAGAGAAAACUCACCUGAAUCCAUCAGAGGUGAGAAUUGAAUACAUGUAUAGCACCCUAAACAUAUUUAGGGUAGGACUCGAACAUGAGACCUAUUCUAUUUCAUAAUAGUAUAAUCCGUACUAAUUACUUGGGUCAAUGGAUAGAGGACAUGAAGAAUGAGUUUAUGGUUUAUUAAUUCUUCUCUUUCCAUAAAUAAAGCUGGUUAGUUGGUUCGAAGACAUAGUUAUAUAUGUACGUUUGAAAGUCAUUUGUUGUUUUAUUUUUUGUUCAUUUUUAGAGUGUAUGAUAUAUAUGCAUAUUGUAUUUCAUUUCAAA